GCGGUUGCUGCUAUUAGAGUUGUGGUUGAUGCUGUUAUCCUUGUGUUAGAACCUAGAGGGUUGCUGCAUUUCCAAUUUUGUGUGGUUAAUGCGACAUCGAGUGACACAGGUUUGAAGAUGCAAUUUGAAGCUACAUGCGAUUAGUAGGCUUUCUUUACGAUUUUGAUUGCUUUCAUAGAGUCCCCUCGCUCUUGUCCUUUGAGGUUUUAUUUUAACAGAGGGGUAGGUGUUGUAUUUGGGUUUAUAUGAUUUCUUAUGUAUAAGAAUUACUAUUAAUAAUAUUUAUGUGAUUGUUAUUAUUAA